rnacentral:rRNA from 1 species
UACGUAGGGGGCAAGCGUUGUCCGGAUUUAUUGGGCGUAAAGAGCGUGUAGGCGGCUGGGUAGGUCCGUUGUGAAAACUCGAGGCUCAACCUCGAGACGCCGAUGGAAACCCCCCAGCUAGAGGCCGGAAGAGGAGAGUGGAAUUCCUGGUGUAGCGGUGAAAUGCGCAGAUAUCAGGAAGAACACCCGUGGCUAAGGCGGCUCUCUAGUACGGUACUGACGCUGAGACGCGAAAGCGUGGGGAGCGAACAGG